GUUAGUGGCGGACGGGUGAGUAACGCGUGAGAAUCUGCCAAGUGGACGGGGACAACAGCGGGAAACUGCUGCUAAUACCCGAUAAGCCCGAGAGGGGAAAGAUUAAUUACCACUUGAGGAGCUCGCGUCUGAUUAGCUAGUAGGUGGGUAAGAGCCUACCUAGGCGACGAUCAGUAGCUGGUCUGAGAGGAUGAGCAGCCACACUGGGACUGAGACACGGCCCAGACUCCUACGGGAGGCAGCAGUGGGGAAUUUUCCGCAAUGGGCGAAAGCCUGACGGAGCAAUACCGCGUGAGGGAGGAAGGCUCUUGGGUCGUAAACCUCUUUUCUCAGGGAAGAUGAUGACGGUACCUGAGGAAUCAGCAUCGGCUAACUCCGUGCCAGCAGCCGCGGUAAUACGGAGGAUGCAAGCGUUA
rnacentral:rRNA from 1 species